rnacentral:misc_RNA from 1 species
GAUGAAGAACGUAGUAAAAUGCGAUACUUGGUGUGAAUUGCAGAAUCCCGUGAACCAUCGAGUCUUUGAACGCAAGUUGCGCCCGAAGCCAUUAGGCCGAGGGCACGCCUGCCUGGGCGUCACACGUCGUUGCCCCCCCAUCUACUCCUUCGGGAUUGCGGGGGGCGGAUGAUGGCCUCCCGUGCGCCUCGUCGCGCGGUUGGCAUAAAUGCCAAGUCCUUGGCGACGCACGCCACGACAAUCGGUGGUUGCGAAACCUCGGUUGCCCGUCGUGUGCGGUCGUCGCGCAUCGAGGGCUCGAAAAAAUUGCCGGCCUCCGGCUCGGCUUUCAACGCGACCCCAGGUCAAGCGGGGUUACCCGCUGAAUUUAAGCAUAUCAAUAAGCGGAGGA